AUUGAACGCUGGCGGCAUGCUUUACACAUGCAAGUCGAACGGUAACGGGCCGCAAGGUGCUGACGAGUGGCGAACGGGUGAGUAAUGCAUCGGAACGUGCCCAGUCGUGGGGGAUAACGCAGCGAAAGCUGCGCUAAUACCGCAUACGAUCUAUGGAUGAAAGCGGGGGACCGAAAGGCCUCGCGCGGUUGGAGCGGCCGAUGUCAGAUUAGGUAGUUGGUGGGGUAAAGGCUCACCAAGCCAACGAUCUGUAGCUGGUCUGAGAGGACGACCAGCCACACUGGGACUGAGAGACGGCCCAGACGCCUACGGGAGGCAGCAGUGGGGAAUUUUGGACAAUGGGCGCAAGCCUGAUCCAGCAAUGCCGCGUGCAGGAAGAAGGCCUUCGGGUUGUAAACUGCUUUUGUACGGAACGAAAAGGCUCUGGUUAACACCUGGGGCUCAUGACGGUACCGUAAGAAUAAGCACCGGCUAACUACGUGCCAGCCGCCGCCGUAAGAC
rnacentral:rRNA from 1 species